ensembl:lncRNA LINC02931 long intergenic non-protein coding RNA 2931
AGUCUGCCUGGCCCAGCCAACACUUCACCUUCUUUCUUAGCCAGUUUGCUGGGAGAACACCCUACCGGUAGCACAUCUUACCGUAUUCACCCCCUCCCAUCAAACUCGCCCCAAUUCUCUCUCCACAUCCAGAGCUCUCUCCCCAGGUUGGAAGGUCCUUCCCCAGACACCUGAAGAGAUGGGGGAAGGAGAAUCAAUUUGGAGAGCCAAGUUUGCCUGACAUUUUGGAGCACACAUUUACCCAGGACCCCAAGUUCCUUGUAGCUGCUAAAUGCUGUACUAGUUCUAAAAUGUAAAUUAGCUUCAAGAUGUUUCCAUGAAGAAAAAUCCCGCCUUCAACUUCUACGUUAUUCAUCCUGCUUUUAGAAAUGACCCUUGCCCUGAUCUGAGGUGGAAGAAAUAAAGGUCUGGUAAAGAAAUGA